AUAAUACUCCCUCCAUCCGGAAUUACUUGUCAUCAAAAUGGAUGUGUCUAGAACUAAAAUACAUCUAGAUACAUCCAUUUCAAUGACAAGUAUUUUCCAACGGAGGGAGUAGUAG
rnacentral:pre_miRNA from 1 species